UCAUGAUCAUGAUUAUGAUCAUGAUCAUGAUUAUGAUUAUGAUCAUGAUCAUGAUUAUGAUCAUGAUCAUGAUUAUGAUCAUGAUCAUGAAUAUGA
rnacentral:pre_miRNA from 1 species